GGACAUCUUCUGAUUUCUCUUUUCUGUUUACCUUUUUCUGUUUCUGUUUACCUUUUUAUGUUUCUCUUGAAUCUUGUAUUUGAGAAUCAAAUUUUCUAUUCAGCUCUGGUAUUUUCAUCAGAAAUGUUUGGAAUUCCUCUAUUUCAUUGAAUACUCAUUUUUUCCUAUGUAGGAUUAUGCUCAGUUUUGCUAGCCUCCACUCUUUCUUCUCCUCUUGUGGCACCAACGAGCAAGGUGCCAAGGGCAGGGCAGGCGAGAUGCCUUGGAUGCUACCUGGCCCCAGUUACUGCCUGAGGACGCGCGAACGCUGAGGGCCAGCGGAGCCAAGCGCUGAGGAGGCGGCAGCGGCGAGGAGGGAGCGAGUGCACCGCCCGACAACCCCAGGUCCCCAGCCCUCAGCCAGAGUCUGAGUGACAGAAGCCCCGCUGCCGGACCGAGAGGAGGCGGGACCGCCGCCUCAGCCACUUCUCGCGCCCGCCUGCCUAAAAGCAUCCAGGGCGAGAAGGAGUGAGCAAGAGAGGGAGAACGAGAGCGCCGCCUGCCCCAGCGACCCCCUUCACUGCCGCUGCUUUCUCUCCCUUUGCUACCCCGUUCUCAACCCUUCUCCCAGCUUGCAGGCCAGUCGGUGAGCGGGAAGGUGCUUGUGCCCUGGCACGGGGCGGCAGCUGCUCCCGCAUGGCGGGGCUAGGGGGCAGAGGAGCAGCAUCUCGGAGGAUGAAGGGCUCGCUGGGCGUUAGGCGGGACAAGCUACCCGGGGCCCCCAAGCCGCCCCAACCCCGGCACGAAAAAGAAGAGACAAGAUAUCAGAAGAAAUCUUUCCUUUGUUUACAACAGUUAGCAGCAUGAUUUGAGCAGAGGGACACACAGUGAGACAACAUAUGCCAGCACAACCCGCUUUACAGCUUCCCUGCUGGGAACAGACCAUGGAACGACAUCAGGUGUUCCCUUUAAAAAGAAUUUUCAUACUGUCUUUCAUUGCUAAGUCACUGACAUAAAAUAAACUAAAAUAAAAAAAUAAAAGUGCUGAAUCUUGGCAGUCAUCCCAUAUCGAGGUGUCAAUAAAAAUAGAAUGCCAAAAUAUGAUUAGGAAAAAUUACUGGGAAUUACUCUUUUGCCACAUUUAUAUAAUUUUUGGUGCUUUGGGGAAAUAUAUCCAUUAAGAGACUGAAAUGAUGGCGUAAAUGAUUUUUGGGGUCUCAGAAUUGUCACAUCAUUGCACUAAAUGAUGUAAAUGGCUGCUUUCCUUAUAUGUAUUUGUAUACACAUUUAAAAAGAACUAAAUUUAAAAUUUUCUGGAAAUCAGAAAAUUUGGGAAAGGAUUGGCAAGCCUUGUAGGGAUACUGACAAAGGUGUUUUGUUCUGAUAAAAUAAGUUUACUAGGGAGAUAUCUCAGUGGAAAAAUCUGUUCUACAAAUUAUAUAGCAUAAUCCAGUGAGCUGAAGAGUAUUUAGUUCCCAAAAAGCUGUCAUAAACUGCAAAAGUCAAUCAAGUAGAUUUUCUUUUUUAAAUUUUCUUAAAUUUUCUUUUUAAACUUUAUUUUUCCAAUUACAUAUAAUAACAAUUUUCAACAUGCUUUUUUGAAAUUAUAAGAUCCAAAUGACAGCAAGCAAAAGAAAUGAAUGUUGGAGAGGAUGUGGCAAAAUUGGGAAAUUAAUGCAUUGCUGGUGGAUUUGUGAAUUGAUCCAACCGUUCUGGAUGGCAAUUUGGAACUAUGCCCAAAGGAUGCUAUAAGACAGACUGCCCUUUGCUCUAUCUAUAGCCCUGCUUGGUUUGUACCCCAAAAAGAUAAUAAGGAAAAAGACUUGUAUAAGAAUAUUCGUAUCUGUGCUCUUUGUGGUGACAAAAAAUGGAAAAUGAGGGGAUGCCCUCUGAUUGGGUAAUGGCUAAACAAAUUGUGGUAUACCUUGGUGAUGGAAUACUAUUGUGUUCAAAGGAAAAAUAAAGUGGAGGAAUUCCAUGGGAACUAGAAAAACCUCCAGGAAUUGAUGCAGAGUGAGAGGAGCAGAACCAGGAAAACAUUGUAUACAGAGACUGAUACAUUGUGGUACAAUCGAAUGUAAUGGACUUCUCCAAUAGCAGCAAUGCAAUAAUCCAGAACAAUUCUGAGGGACUUAUGUGAAAGAACACUAUCCACAUUCAUAGGAAGAACUGUGGGAGCAGAAACAGAGAAGAAAAACUUCUUGAUCAAAAAUUUGCUUGAUCACAUGGGUUGAUGGGGAUAUGCUAGGGGAUGUAGACUCUAAACAAUCACCCUAAUGCAAAUACUAAUAAUAUAGAAAUGGGUCUUGACCAAAGACACAUGUAAAACUCAGUGGAAUUGCUUGUUGGCUAUAGGGUUGGGGUGGGAUGAAGGGAGGGAAAGAACAUGAAUCAUGGAACCAUGGAAAAAUAUUCUAAAUUAAUUAAUUAAAUAAAAAAUUUCCAUAAAAAUGCAGUAUAAUGAGCCAAAUAAAAUUCAGUUUACAGGUAAAAAAAAGAAAUUAUAAUAUCUAAAUUGUCUUCCUCCCUUCCUUCUCUUUCUCCUCCCAGAGAUGGUAAGCAAUUUGAACUGGGCUAUAAACGUAGGAUCAUACAAAACAUAUUUCCAUAUUGGCCAUUGUUGUGAAAUGAUAUUCCUAUGAAACCCAAACCCCAAAACAAAAUGAAAAAAAGUAAAAUAAAAAAUAGUAUGCUUUGAACUACAUCCAGCUCGAUCAGUUCUUUCUCUGGAGGUGAAUAGCAUUUUUUAAUUAAUCCUUCAGAAUUUUCAUGGAUCAUUGUAUUGCCAAGAAUAGCUAAGUCUUUCAUGGUUGAUCACCGUACAUUGUUGCUUUUGCUGUGUGCAUUGAUCUCAUUCUGUUUACUUCACUCUGCAUCAGUUCAUGUAGGUCUUUCCAGUUUUUUUUAAUCAUCCUGUUCAUGAUUUCUAAUAGCUCAAUAGUAUUCCAUGACUAUCAUAUACCACAAUUUGUUCAUCCAUUUCCCAAUUGAUGGACAUCCUCUCAAUUCCCAAUUCUCUGCUACCACAAAAAAGAUCUGGGUUAGAUUUGAUGUCAGAUCUUCCUGAAUUGAAGUCCUGCUCUUUUCCCACAUUACCCUCUAGUUGCCUAAUGUUGGGAAUUACAGUAAAGUAGUUGUUUUUAUUUAUAAAGGUAGUUUUUCAUCUGGAAAUCCUCUCAGUUCUCCUCAAAAUAUUUUAGGUAUCCCUAGGGGAAUGAUCUUCAGAACACUUCCAGAAGCUCUACAAGGUUAAAACUAUUUUUCCUAAUAAUACUAAGCUGUUUUAUUUUUGAAUACAGUGUUGACAGAGAUGAUGUUCAUAAACAAAAGCUCUUUUCUUAGUCUUCAAUAAUUUUAAGGGUAUAAAAGAAUCCUGAGACCACUUUUUUACAUCAAUGAAGA